GCCCCGUAAUCGGAAUGAGUACACUUUAAAUCCUUUAACAAGGAUCCAUUGGAGGGCAAGUCUGGUGCCAGCAGCCGCGGUAAUUCCAGCUCCAAUAGCGUAUAUUAAAGUUGUUGCGGUUAAAAAGCUCGUAGUUGGUUCUGCGUGCCGCGCUGUCGGUUCGCCGCCUGUCGGUGUAACUGGCAUGUCGCGGCAUGUCCUGUCGGUGGUGAACGGAGUCCACGACGCUACAUGGGCUUUAUAGUCGAUGUUAGCAUCGUGUGUACUUCCGUUGGCCGAUCUCUCCUACUUCGGUGCUCUUAAACGAGUGUCGAGGUAGGCCGACACGUUCACUUUGAACAAAUUAGAGUGCUUAAAGCAGGCUGAAAUAUCUGCCUGAAUAGUGGUGCAUGGAAUGAUAAAACAGGACCUCGGUUCUAUUUUGUUGGUUUUAGGAAUAUGAGGUAAUGAUCAAUGUGGACUGGCGGGGGCAUUCGUAUUGCGACGUUAGAGGUGAAAUUCUUGGAUCGUCGCAAGACGCACUAGAGCGAAAGCAUUUGCCAAGUAUGUCUUAAUUGAUCAAGAACGAAAGUUAGAGGUUCGAAGGCGAUCAGAUACCGCCCUAGUUCUAACCAUAAACGAUGCCAGCCAGCGAUCCGCCGAUGUUCCUUUAAUGACUCGGCGGGGAGCUUCCACCCGGGAAACCAAAGCUUUUGGGUUCCGGGGGAAGUA
rnacentral:rRNA from 1 species